GGAUGAUAUUAGCUGUGAGUCUUUUGGAUAUCAAGAUUGGAAUUUCUGUUCAACUGUUGUCAAGCUCACUGGUUCUUUUAUUGAUCAUCAAAGGCAUGCUUCAUCUCCCCUAAUAUGUUUUGCUUUAUGUAUUUUUCUGCAUUUCCAUUAGAUUCCUUCCUAAUCAUUUCCACAAAUCCAUUGAAAUCACCUAUCAGCCUUGCUUGUUGUCUACCUUCUUCAUUAAAGCCUUUAACCUAUUAAAUGGUUAUUUUAAACACCUCUUUUA